ACUGAUAUGAAUGGAAGUUGGAGUGCUUGCACAAAGAUGGAAAUCGUUGACGUGGAUCUUCCGCCUAGUGGCGCAAGGGUGAGUAACACGUGGGUAAUCUACCUUAGAGACUGGGAUAACAGUUGGAAACGACUGCUAAUACCGGAUGAUAUGUAAGAUGAUACGUUAUCUUAUAUUAAAAGGAGCCUUUAAAGCUUCACUUUAAGAUGAGCCUGCGGCGUAUUAGCUAGUUGGUGGGGUAAAGGCCUACCAAGGCAACGAUGCGUAGCCGACCUGAGAGGGUGAUCGGCCACACUGGGACUGAGACACGGCCCAGACUCCUACGGGAGACAGCAGUUAGGAAUAUUCGUCAAUGGGGGAAACCCUGAACGAGCAAUGCCGCGUGAAGGAUGACGGUCCUCUGGAUUGUAAACUUCUGUUGUUAGGGAAGAACGACCUGUAUAGGAAAUGAUACAGGAGUGACGGUACCUUUCAAGAAAGCUCCGGCUAACUACGUG
rnacentral:rRNA from 1 species